UGUCCGCCUGGGUACUAUGAGCUUUAGCUUAAAACCCAAAGGACUUGGCGGUGCUUAAGAUCCACCUAGAGGAGCCUGUUCUAGAACCGAUAACCCCCGUUAAACCUCACCCCCUUUUGUCUUAACCGCCUAUAUACCGCCGUCGUCAGCAUACCCUGUGAAGGAUAUACAGUAAGCACAAUUGGCAUAGCCCAAAACGUCAGGUCGAGGUGUAGCAUAUAAGGGGGGAAGAAAUGGGCUACAUUCUCUACCCCAGAGCACACGAACAUUGGACUGAAAACCCCAUUAGAAGGAGGAUUUAGCAGUAAGGGACAAAUAGAGCGUGCCCCUGAAGACGGCCCUAAAGCGCGUACACACCGCCCGUCACCCUCCUGCAGUCAC
rnacentral:rRNA from 1 species